ensembl:lncRNA
AACAUGAGGUCAGUCCAGCCUGGGGCAGUUUCUUUCCAAGAGAAGAUGGAGGAAGGACAGCUAAGUGACUGGAAAUUUGACUUGCCUUCAUGUCAAGAGAUACCUACACCUUUUGGAAACAACAAACCCUUUGUGGUACCUCAGUGGGAUCAUCAGUGGGGCAUGGCCCUCUCCUGGAUGACGUUCUCAUGCUGCUUUGCAAAGAGAAUGUAUAACAGGAUUUGUACAGGAGAUCCUGGUAAGGAACAUGGAACUAACAAUCCAACACCAACUGGAAGAAUUGGUAAUGGUCAAAAGGAGAUGCCACAUGUCCUACCAAUCUCCCAGAAAUCUCCUUGCUGGAAUCCAUCUUGGCUGAGCAAAGUGUGUACCAUCAAGAAGGACCUUGAGCCAGAAUGAUUGGCCAGAGGCAACCUGGAAACUAAUCCCAUUACUGUAAAGCCUGAGACUGAGCCACGUGGCAGAGCAGCCCUCCUGGGAUCCCUCAUCUUCCUGCUCUCCGCCCUUCUCAAUAAAGUCGCUUGCUUCGUCAGCAUCUGUGUCUCCUUGGACAAUUCAUUUCUGAGCGUUAGACAAGAGCCCACUCUCGGGGGCUGGAAGGAG